GGCUUCUUUGACAUAGAUUUGAGAGUGAUCCGAAAAUUCUGGAAAAGAAAGCGGUACCAGCAUCUUUUUCCUUAUUUUAAUCUGUUACCUCAGCCAGACACUGCAUUACUCUUAACAAAAAAUGCCAGAAGAAAACACUAAAGAGGAGUUCCCAAAGAUUGAUGUUUCACUAGAGCAGGAUGGAGGCAUUUUGAAGCAAAUAUUACAUGAAGGAGAGGGUGAAGAGAAACCACUCAACGGUGAUACAGUGUCAGUUCAUUAUGUUGGUUGUUUAGAUGACGGGACAGAGUUUGAUUCAAGUCGUGAAAGAGGAGAACGAUUUACAUUUGAACUUGGAAAGGGUGCAGUAAUUAAAGCAUGGGAUCAAGGUGUCGCCACAAUGAAAAAGGGGGAGAUUGCACGCUUAACCUGUAAACCAGAAUAUGCUUAUGGAGAGACUGGUUCCCUUCCUAAAAUACCAGCAAAUGCUACAUUAGUAUUUGAAGUGGAGCUGUUUGAUUGGAAAGGUGAAGAUGUAUCAGAGGACAAAGAUGGUUCUAUCAUCAGGAGUGUUAUAAAGAAGGGAGAAAAAUAUAGUAAUCCUAAUGAUGGGGCAACUGUCAAAGUAAAAUAUACAGCAUCGUACAAUGACAAUGUGUUUGAGAAAGAGAGGGAGUUGGAAUUCAUUGUUGGAGAGGGAGAUGAGCAAGGGAUAAUUCCUGGUUUAGAACAAGCUGUCAAGAAAAUGAAACAGCAUGAGAAAUCCAAAUUUGAUAUCAAGCCCUCACAAGGUUAUGGUGCCAAGGGAAAUACCGAGUUUAACAUCCCAGGGGACGCAGCUCUAGUGUAUGAAGUUGAACUGUUAAGCUUUGAAAAGGAGAAACAACCUUGGGAACUAGAUACGUACGGACGAUCGGAUAUUGCUGAACAAGCCAAAAAUAAAGGAAAUAAAUAUGUCAAGAAAGAGAACUACAGCAAGGCAAAGCAGUUCUAUAAAAAAGUGAAGAAAUAUUUAGAAUAUGAAACCGAUUUACAAGAAGAAAAUAAAGAGAAAAGGAAUAGUUUAAUGUUAGCUACUCAUCUGAACAUUGCCAUGUGUGAACUCAAGGUGGGAGAUUUCUCUGAAGCUAGAGAAGAAUGCAAUAAAGCUUUAGAGAUAGACCCUAAAAGUGUCAAGGCAUACUUUAGGAGGGCUACGGCCUAUUUUCAAGUUCAUGAUCAUGAAUCAGCUAAAGCAGAUUAUGAGAAAGUCUUGGAACUUGAACCAGAAAACAAAGCAGCCAAAAAUCAAAUAGUUAUUUGUGAACAAAAACUGAAGCAGUUCAGGGAAAAAGAAAAACAUAUUUAUGCUGGAAUGUUUAAUAAAUUUGCUGAACGUGAUUCACGCCAUCCAUACUCUGGCUAUGAAGACGGGCUGGAAAGCAUUGGGGAAUGGCACAAUGAAAUGGCCGAUGGUAUGAUGACUCUUCAGCAAGAGUGUGAGGCAUUCGGUGAAACAAUGCCUGAACCUAAAACCAACAAUCAUGGCAGGAAACAUCAGGAAGAUGAUUGACAGGCAGGCUACAAGAUAUGACACUGGUAUUAUAAAUGGUCUGGUUGACAGGCUACAAGAUAUGACAAUGGUGAAAGUUUCAGAUGAAUCCAAGACAACCAAACAGUCGGAUUCUAAACCAGAAGAAAGUGCCCCAAUGGAAACAAGUUAAAAUGGUGGAGGAUUUUAUUUACUUUUAUAAUUAUUAUUGUUGAUUUAAUUGUAAUCUGUGUACUGCCAUUUUGUUUUUGAGAUACAAUUUUGUUCUUGAGCUACAGUAUGUAUUUUUGUUAAUAAUAAAAUGUGCCAUGAGUAUAGUAAUUUUUUAACAUUGAAACAUUUGUAUGUAAAUCAUUUAUACAUCUAAUUUUUGUUGAACAAAAAAGACAUAGAUAUACAAAAUGUAUAUGACCUUGCUAUUCUUUAUUCAGUUUGUAUAACAAACUUCAUACUUAAUAUACUAUGUGUUAUCUUACAUGUAUAUCAUAUCUUUGUAUACCAUAUUAGACAAAAGUUAUAUGUAUACAUAAGUUCCAACAGUAUAUUACAUAUGGUUUACACAACUCUAAGUUACAGUUAUGAUUAUACUUUGAACAUCAUUCUUUAUAUUCAUAUGUAAAUUUUUCAGUAUUUUUUUGAUAGAAUUUGCAAUAUUUGCUGUAUUAGAAAGAAAUCCUCUUAUUGUAAUUUAAACUGACCAAAAUCUCCAUGUUCCCCAUCCAAUUCAAACAAGGUACAACAAAUAUUUAAUACAAAUUUUUGCCCACUAUUCAAACAUAUUUUUUUUAUUUUACAUACUGUAUUUGUUGAGACAUAAUUAUAAUGGUUAUUCCCCCUUUUUUAGCUCACCUGGCCCGAA